ensembl:lncRNA
CAGUAUAUUGGCAGAGGUUAACAAGAGGGGAGAAAGGAGAAAGAAGAUGGAGAAUUUCUGAAGCUGUUUGAAGGAGUGAAGCUCCUGAUCUAGUACACAGGUACUUAAAGGGUUAAUACUCCAGUUCCGUGGAUUGACAACUUUCCAGAUACCUGCUUCUCAAAAGAGAAGAACUACAUAUACCAGAGGACCUCACAGUCAGAGAAGGAAGAUAUGUCACGGAAAUCACGGGAUCUCUGUCUCACUGCCUAGCAGAGGGGUGUGUGCUUCCAAGCCGUGCACCUUUAUUCAAGAAAAUUCUCUGUUUCCUACAAUCUAACAAAAUCCUCUCUGUUCAAGCUAUGUGUUGAAGCAAUUGAUUUCCAGACACAACUUCAGUUCUGUCAGCUUGCCAUCUCCAGUAUUUGAGAGAUGCACAGUACUUCAGAGAAGGAACUGAUCCAGCUAAACUGUUAUUGGGAAUGUGGAGGGAAGCAAGAAGAUGUUCCUCAACAAGGUAAAUGCAUGGAAGACUAGAGGAUAGAUCUUCCAUUAGAGAAAAAAUGGAGAUAAAUAUUGAUGACCAACCAUUCAUAGGACAAUCUCUUUUGCAGCUGUGGUUGUGAAUGUACCUACAGUUCAGCAGAUUUUGUGUGUAUGAGAUAGCCAGCCUGACAGAACAUGUCCAGGCAUAGGGAAGCUUAUAACACUUUCUCUAUGUGCUG